GACAGAGGAUGCAAGCGUUAUCCGGAAUGAUUGGGCGUAAAGCGUCUGUAGGUGGCUUUUAAGUCCGCCGUCAAAUCCCAGGGCUCAACCCUGGACAGGCGGUGGAAACUACCAAGCUGGAGUACGGUAGGGGCAGAGGGAAUUUCCGGUGGAGCGGUGAAAUGCGUAGAGAUCGGGAGGAACACCAGCGGCGAAAAGCACUCUGCUGGGCCGACACUGACACUGGAGAGACGAAAGCUAGGGGAGCGAAUGGG
rnacentral:rRNA from 1 species